ACUGCUAUCGGGGUGGGUAGCCAUGCGAGUCUGCGUCACGGGCAACGUGACGCGGCGCACGGCUCAGUAAAACAUGCUCAAACUGCCCUACAGACCGGGAUAACCUCUGGAAACGGAGGAUAAUCCCGGAUAGGUAAGAACUCUUGGAAUAGGUUCUUACCGAAAGGGUGCGGCGCUGAUGCCGCAUCGCACCGCUGUAGGAUGUGAGCAUGGCCUAUCAGGUUGAUGGUGAGGUAACGGCUCACCAUGCCUAAGACGGGUACGGGCCGUGAUAGCGGGAGCCCGGAGAUGGGUUCUGAGACAAGAACCCAGGCCCUACGGGGCGCAGCAGGCGCGAAACUUCUGCAAUGCGCGAAAGCGCGACAGAGUCACCCCGAGUGCCAUCCGCUGAGGAUGGCUUUUGCCCUGUGUAAAAAGCAGGGCGAAUAAGCGGGGGGCAAGUUCUGGUGUCAGCCGCCGCGGUAAUACCAGCCCCGCGAGUGGUCAGGACGAUUAUUAAGCCUAAAGCGUCCGUAGCCGGCCUUGUAAGUUCUCCCUUAAAUGGUAUGGCUCAACCAUACCGUUGGGGAGAAUACUGCAAGGCUAGGGGGCGGGAGAGGCGGGUGGUACUUGAGGGGUAGUGGCAAAAUACGAUAAUCCCUCGAGGACCACCAGUGGCGGAGGCGACACGCUAGAACGCGCCCGACGGUGAGGGACGAAAGCCGGGGUAGCAAAAGGGAUUAGAUACCCCUGUAGUCCCGGCUGUAAACGAUGCGGGCUAGGUGUCGCGUGGACUUUGAGCCCACGCGGUGCCGCAGGAAAACUGGUAAGCCCGCCGCCUGGGGAGUACGGCCGCAAGGCUGAAACUUAAAGGAAUUGGCGGGGGAGCACCACAAGGGGUGGAACCUGCGGCUCAAUUGGAGUCAACGCCUGGAAUCUCACCGGGGGAGACCGCAGGAUGACGGCCAGGCUAACGACCUUGCCAGACUCGCGGAGAGGAGGUGCAUGGCCGUCGCCAGCUCGUGUUGUGAAAUGUCCGGUUAAGUCCGGCAACGAGCGAGACCCCCACUUCUAGUUGGUAGCCGUCCCUCCGGGGAUGGCCCACACUAGAAGGACUGCCGGUGUUAAACCGGAGGAAGGAGGGGGCCACGGCAGGUCAGCAUGCCCCGAAACCUCCGGGCCGCACGCGGGUUACAAUGGCAGGGACAGCGGGAUCCGACCCCGAAAGGGGGAGGCAAUCCCAGAAACCCUGCCUCAGUUGGGAUCGAGGGCUGAAACUCGCCCUCGUGAACGAGGAAUCCCUAGUAACCGCGGGUCAACAACCCGCGGUGAAUACGUCCCUGCUCCUU
rnacentral:rRNA from 1 species